CUUUAAAAGCUUAACUGUUACUUUGCAGCUCCUGAAGCCAAACAGAAUCAGGCUUGGGAACUGGGAGAUUUAUCCUCUAUCAAAGCAGCAGUUACAAUACGCAGCAACAGAUGCUUAUGCUUCAUGGCAUCUUUACCAGGUUCUAAAGGACCUUCCUGAUGCUGUCAAUGGCUAGGAAGCUCAAAGAUUUUCCUAUAACCCCAAGAGUGAGCAUCAAAUGUUAUGAUACAUUUAAUAUUUAAAAAGGAUUUUUAAUUUAUGGUUGAUAUAAGAUACAAUACUACU